rnacentral:lncRNA from 1 species
UUUUUUUUUUGGAAAUAUAUUGCUCAAGCAGUGAAGGAAAUGUGUAAACUUAAAUUCAUUUGAAGAGAAGUCAGAGGGAUAAAUAAUGAUCAAAGCAUUCAACUAAAGAGGUUAGAGAAAAUAAACGCAGAAAGGAGCUGCAAAGGAUAUAUUAAAAUAGAAAAUUAGUGCAAUGAAAUAGAAACAAAUGAAUAAGAGCAUUAAAAGUAAAAAAAAAAUGAUCUGUAAUAAUGAUUUUUUAAAUCAGUCAUUUUACCAGUCAGUCAAAGCGCUUCUAAGGAGAAAUUGUGGACCAGGGAGAUUUGAAGGGCAUCCCGUAGGUCAGGCCCCCCCCCCCCAGGUCUUGAGGACUCCAUAGCAUGCUGACCCUGAAGAUCAGAUGGUCCAGAUCCAGCAGGUCAUAAAACCAGCCUGAGACCUCUCCACUAACUGUGGGCAGUAGCGCUGCACUCACAGCUCCUGGUUGAUGGUUCUAUUUCUGCCAGAAUUGACUUCCGGAGUAGAUCUAAGCCUAUUGAUCUAGUAUCAUUGUUUACAAAAACAUCAGAGGAGAGGUCACAGAAAAAUCAGAUCGUGGUCCCAUGAGCAGUUAAAUUUAGAACUGUAGAUAGGCCUGCAUGUCCCUAAUUUGACUGUUAUGAGCAUCUAUCUAUAAAUUUGCACAAAUGAUUCUGAAAUCUAUUUUCAUCCAGUUCUUUGUAGGGUUGAUAGGUGCUAAAUUUUUGCUUUGUGCUUUGAUAGGUGCUAAAUUUUUGCUUUGUGCUUUGAUAGGUGCUAAAUUUUUGCUUUGUGCUUUGAUUUGGGAUGGUCACAAGGUAAUUAAUGCUUCCCAAACCUUGCCUCCUCCGGGUUGAAUGGGGAUAACAAAAAAGGGAUGUGAGAGAACAGGUUAAAAACUAGUGCAAACCCCCCGGCAUAGUAGGUGCACAAAAAGACUCAAAAGCAUUCCCAUCUCUAUCCUUCAUGUUGGCAGGCUUAGAUCACACUUCCUCUGAGUAUUCAUUGCUCCACCGUGAAAAUCUGCUCACUCCUUGAGUGUGCUUUUUCAGGUGCCUUCUGGGGUCCAAGAAGCAAAGAUACACAUCAUAUUCUGGAUUUAGGAGACUCUUGGGGAGAAAAGUAGAGAUGGAUACAGAUAAGUCUCUCUCUCUCUCUCCCUCUCCACACGCACAUCCUACUACCUAUCUAUAAAUACUCAUUAUUUUCAUCAUCUGCCCCUCUCUCUGUCUUUUCCACUUUUUUCUCCUUGGUUUCCUAUUGUCUUUCUAAGACUAUGUAGAUUAUGGACGAAGCCAUCUUUGGGUCCUGGCUCAGCCACAUACUAGCCGCGUUACUUGGGGGUGAUGUUCUAAGUUUCCCUAAUCCUCAGUCUCCUUGUGGCUACAUGGAGAUAAUGGUGCCUGAUUCAUAGGCGUGUUGCAAAGGAAGCUUGCAGCACAGUCCUGGGUACAAAGUGAGAUAGUUAUUAAUCCCAUUGUGUGAUAACCCAUCUUCCACGGUAUCAUGUUAGCCUUUGGGCUCCACCUGCAGAGCGGCUGACAACUGUACCCACUCUAACGACUCCUUUUCCUGUGACCUCGGCCUUUUCCUUGGUUUAUGACAGAUAACUGGAAACUCACUAAUGCGUAUUUGCCUUAUUACAUGUUUCAGAUUUAGAUUUGUGUUCUGAAAUAAAAUCCCUUGAAUUAAAACUCAUUUACCUUUUUUCUUGCUCUGUCAGGCAAUCUUACAUCUUUCAAGGUUUUCUUAUCAGUUUGGGAAUCGCUUUACUUAGAGGAGCUAAAUGCUAUUUUUGGUUAUAUGGAUUUCACUCUGCUCCCUCUUCCAACCAUUUAUGAUCUCAGCCUGAGCCUCUUUUCAGGCCUGGUGUUUCUGUCUUGUGAACUGUUUCUUUUACAUGAUAAAGCAGUCUAUGAGUCCCUAUGACUAAAUUUGGUAAGAAAGCUUGUCAAAGGCGUUUGAAAGUCUAAAUAGAAGUCUUUGCUCGUUUCUUGUUGGCCUCUUUAUCCGCUAAAAGCAUUUAAGUAGAUUUAAUAUGGAAUGUUUUCCUUACACAAACAUUUUUGCUUUUCCCUUUUUAUGGUGGUUUCUGAAGUAUUUAGUGAUCCUACACGUUAUAAAAAUGAAAUGCCCUUGAUAUUUCCUGUGUCUGCUCUGGAGCCCUUCUUAAAAUGAUGGUUUUAUGGGUAAUCUUUUAGUUCUUAGCUCUGGGUCAAUAUGUUACCUUCAGUUUUGCAAUUUGGCCAAUAUGUCCUAAAGUUUCCUGACAAUUCAGAAUUAUGACAAUGUGUGUACUUGUGCUAAGAGCUCCCCGAAUAGUUGCCACUCUUUUCUCCAAAAAUCAAUUGCGGGAUUAGAACUUUGAGUAAGGUGUCAUUUCAGGCUUCCUGCUCCCUUUUAUUUUCAUCUGGAGAGGAGCUCUGAACCAUACAAAUCUAGGAGUCCUGCUGAUUUUAGAGCUGGCUCUCUGCCUUUAUGCUUUUAAAGAAACGCUCUGCUUGAAUGAAGCAGCAUCCAUUUAAACGAGUAUCUCUGACCCAGGCUUCCGCCAGAGGAAGAGGGAUGUGCUUCAAACACAAGUACUUUAAUCUUCCACAUCAAAAUUGUCUGGCUAAGAGACUGUCCCAGUUCUAGGACUGCAAAAUUCAACUUUAUCUCACAUAAAUGCAUGAUCAUUGUGCGGUUACAUUUUGAAAAGUAUUCCAGGACUGAAGGUCGGUUAACUUUAUCUACUUCAGUAAAUAUUUGCGUUUUUGCUUUAUAAAGAAUCUAAUUUGUUCUGAAAGUUUACUUUGGUUUUAGUAGGUUUGAAAAUACUUUUCAUUUCUAACUGCAUCUCGUGCUACAAAAUAGCAAAGAGGGUUCCCCCAAAAAACUCAAAAGAGGAGUUCCUGCUGUGGCUCAGCAGAUGAAGAACCCAAUCUAGCGUCCAUGAGGACAGGGGUUGGAUCCCUGGCCUCGAUCAGUGGGUUAAAAAUCCAGCAUUGCCGUAGGCUGCAGCAUAGGUCGAAGAUGCAGCUCGGAUCCAACCUUGCUGUGGCGUAGACCUACCAGCUACAGCUCCGAUUCAUUCCCUAGCCCAGGAACUUCCAUAUGCCACAGGUGCAGCCAUAAAAAGAAAAAAUAUAUAUAUACAAAAACCAACUAACUAAUAAACAAAAACUCAGUAGACACUGUUUCUUUUCGGCCAUAGACUGAGCUGUAACUGAGCAGUGGGGCAAGUUGGCCGCAUGGAUGAGAAAAUCGAGGCUAUCUUAGGAGUUCCCUUUGUGGUGCAGCAGGUUAAGGAUCCAGCAUUGUCUCUGAGGAGGUGCACGUUCCAUCCCCUGCCUGACACAGUCAGUUAAGGAUCCAGUGCUGCUGCAGCUGUGGCUCGGAUUUGAUCCCUAGCCUGGGAACUUCCAUGUGCCGCCCGUGAGGCUGAGAAAGAGAAGUAAAGGGUGACCUCAGCUCUGGCAGGGUGUUUCCACGAUUCAUUAACAUGAAAAAGAAAAAAUAAAGAGAAAAAAAAAAAGCCCUGGUAAAGAAAAAAUGUUCAUUUCCUGGGCCAGCUGCCUUCCGGGAGAGACGGUUGCUGAUCUCUUUGGAGCAUAUCUCAGAAAGCCAGGGGCACCUCAAAAAACCCAUCACCCGCAAACCCAUCGCUGUGCAUUAUUUUGGCUGCAGGACCUUUUUCUAAUGAGAUACUCUCCCCACAAUCUUUACCCUCAAGUUUCUAGAAAGACUCCUGUGGUUGCUAAGAAAGAGCAUCAAAUUACUCAGUGAAAUAAGAGAGAAUGCACAGGAUUCAGCCACCCCCAAGGAUGGACUCUGAUGGGAGCCUAGCUCUUCUUCAAGGGGAGGUCCUGUUUCUGGGACUUGGGGCUGUAGCCCUUUGUCCAGAAGGGGAGGCAUAAAUGGAGACCCCCUGUCGUGGUCUCAUCAGUGGGCAAGUUUUUAUGUCCUGUGAAGCCGAGUUGUGGUCACAGGUAACAUCUUCUUGAAUACGUUCCAUUCUGCCUCUGAGAGUUGAAAUCAUAUUUCCCUCACUUCUCUUCCUACAUAUUAUUCUAUAGAAAGAAGAUAUUAUUGGAUGUGAUUGGCCAUGAAAACCUCUGUUGACUUGAGAAGCUAGACCUCUCUUAUUUUUAGCGGGGACGCUGAGGCAGAAGAGAUGCUUUUGAGCACAGCCAUUCAAGAAAAAUAGAAGCAGCACCUAAGCAUCCUGGCAUCUGUUGCUGCCUCCUGUUUCUCAUGCCUCGCCCUUCCUCACCACCCAAGAUUAAAGGGUUCCACAGGCUAUAGCACCGUGAACACCGGGUGGUCCGUGGUUUCCUGAUGUGGGGCUCUGGAUCUGAUCUAAGGAGGGCUGUGGUAUGGGAAUAAAUGCUUCUCUCACAAGCAGUUACCUCUUUCGAGCCAACCUACCUGGGACGCAUUUUAAUAUCCUUGUUUCCUUAUGUCCGUGCUCUGCCCUGGUGUCGCCUUCUCUUCCUCUGCCCUCCUAUCCCGCAGGCGUCUCCUUCCCUGGGCUCAGAGAGAGAGGGGUGACUUGGAGAUGACGGGUGGAGAGGAGAUUCAGGUCAGGGUGACUGGAGGUUAGAGAGAAUGUAGGUGAAAUGAAAAACAGCAGACCCGAGAGCGGCAGCGGUCAGCGGUGGAGGAGGAGGAGGGUUGAGAGGAGAAGAAGGAGGGAUGGGAGGCUGCAGAGGGGAGGGCGCCCGGAGGGAUUUCCACAGCGGGCUCUGAUGAGCUGUGUCUGGUCGGUGCUAUACCUUAGCGUGCUCAUAUCUCC